CCCAAGGCAGAAGUGAGGAUGUGGACAGCUCUGUGUGUGGCAAUGUACUUCUUUGGAACAAGAGCUGAAAUCACCCAAACCCCAAGCCUUGUGGUGAGAGAAGAUGAGAAUGCUACCCUGAAAUGCAGUCAAAAUGACAAUCACAAUUCCAUGUACUGGUAUCUGCAGCAGCCAGGGAAGGCGAUGCAAUUGAUUUAUUAUUCCUAUGGCUUAACUCUAAAGCAAGAGGGUGACAUUUCGGCUGGAUUCCAAGCUAACCGGCCAAACCUUGCAGAAUUCUAUUUGGAUAUUUUGUCUGUGAAGUCAAACUACUCAGCCCUCUACUUCUGUGCCAGUAGCCCCAGUCCCAGUACAACAGAGAUAGCAAAAACUGUAGAGUGCAGCAGAGGGUCAGUCACUAAGAUAAUCUACGGACUGCGGCAGAAAUACAAGAGGGGUUACGGGAAUUGA